UGCCUUGGUGUUACCUGUAAUACUGUUAUUGAAUUGCAGUGUGUCAAGCAAGGCAAACAUUAAAUUGAUUUCAUCAUUCUCUCAAUGCAUUUGAGUUUUGAUGAAAAUUGAACAUUU